GACGAACGCUGGCGGCGUGCUUAACACAUGCAAGUCGAACGGAAAGGCCCUGCUUUUGUGGGGUGCUCGAGUGGCGAACGGGUGAGUAACACGUGAGUAACCUGCCCUUGACUUUGGGAUAACUUCAGGAAACUGGGGCUAAUACCGGAUAGGAGCUCCUGCUGCAUGGUGGGGGUUGGAAAGUUUCGGCGGUUGGGGAUGGACUCGCGGCUUAUCAGCUUGUUGGUGGGGUAGUGGCUUACCAAGGCUUUGACGGGUAGCCGGCCUGAGAGGGUGACCGGCCACAUUGGGACUGAGAUACGGCCCAGACUCCUACGGGAGGCAGCAGUGGGGAAUAUUGAACAAGGGGCGGAAGCCUGAGGCAGCAACGCCGCGUGCGGGAUGACGGCCUUCGGGUUGUAAACCGCUUUCGCCUGUGACGAAGCGUGAGUGACGGUAAUGGGUAAAGAAGCACCGGCUAACUACGUG
rnacentral:rRNA from 1 species